rnacentral:rRNA from 1 species
UUAGGAACUUUCUUUUAUUACGUUAGCGGCGGACGGGUGAGUAACACGAGGGCACCCUGCCCGUAAGACUGGGAUACUUUUCGGGAAACCGAAGCUAAUACCGGAUAGGAUCUUCUCCUUCAUGGGAGAUGAUUGAAAGAUGGUUUCGGCUAUCACUUACAGAUGGGCCCGCGGUGCAUUAGCUAGUUGGUGAGGUAACGGCUCACCAAGGCAACGAUGCAUAGCCGACCUGAGAGGGUGAUCGGCCACACUGGGACUGAGACACGGCCCAGACUCCUACGGGAGGCAGCAGUAGGGAAUCUUCCGCAAUGGACGAAAGUCUGACGGAGCAACGCCGCGUGAGUGAUGAAGGCUUUCGGGUCGUAAAACUCUGUUGUUAGGGAAGAACAAGUAUGAGAGUAGCAUGCUCGUACCCUGACCCGUACCUAUAACAAGCUAGUUAAGCAC